AGGAAGGGUGGGAUGAACAGUAGCAGUGAAGUCCCUAUAGACCAGAGUGAAUAAUUUGAAUAUUAUACCAAGUGAUAAGGGAAACUAUUGUUGAGUUUUAAGUGUGGGAGUGAUGUGAUCUGAUUUAUGUUUUUAAAAGUUCACUGUGGCUACUGUGGCUGAUGGAUUGCUGGGUGCAAGGGGACUGGUAUGGGAGUGGUUAAACUAGCUAGGAGGCCACUACAGAGAUCCAGGACAGAAAUAGAGUGUAGACCAUCACAGUGAGAACAACAGAGUCAGAGAGGUAGACAGAGUCAGGAUAAUAUGGGAUCUGCACAAGAAAGCUCAGUGUCUUCUCCAGGCCACUCCACAGGGCCCUCCCUCCCCCCAGGUACAGUCUUUCCUUCUUCCCACCCUCGUUAUAAUAACCUUUCAUCUACUCCUCUGCAGUGUCUAUCAGAACCCACAAAGAGAUAGUAGGCUGCCUGUUCUUUAGAAAAGUGUAAUUGAUAAAGAGGAAAGCUCUUCCUACGUAAGAACGGUCUCCUAUUUUGUUUUCCUGGCAUGCCCAUUAUUGAAGUUGAUAAUGUACUGCUGGGUAAAUUUGGGCUGGUGGCUAAACCCAGGAACUGCUGAUUGGGCUCCUGUGAAUCAGGCAAGAGUUGACUCUUCCUGUAAUUGGAUCCAGUUUGCAGUAUUGUGCCAUCUGGAGUGUUGCUGAUGGAUGGGGAGAUCCCAGACUUCUUAGUGAUGGAUGAAUCACAGGGGAGGGGCCUCCCAUUUUCCAAGUGAAAGAUGACUUUCUAGUAAUAAGACAAUGUCAGUAGGUAAUCACAAUUCUAUUUCUGUUUUCUACCAACUCUUUUAAAUAGGUGGAAAAUGUUUGCAAAGACCCUUUCUCCCUAUUCAUUCAUUCAUUCAUUCAUUCAUUCAUUCAUUCAGCAAACUUAUAAUGAGCUCACAGCUCUAAUUCCUUGCUUUGUGUCCUUAGAUAAGUUUUGUCCUUAGACUUGACUUUCCUGAGCCUCAGCUGUGAAACAAGGAUGCUGAUAACACAUACCUCUUAAGAUUAUGAAAAUGUAAUAAAAGAAUGGAUGUGAUGCACUUUGCAAAGUGUCUGGCACAUAUUCAAGUUGGGGAUCUUAGAGAAGGUGAAGGAGGGCUGGCUUGGGAGAAGCACAUGCCCGUUUCUUGGUUAAAGCCUUUACUGAUGACACUCUUUCUGUCCUGGAAUAUUUGUAGCAGAAGUUUCCAGUAUUAAGGGACCUCUAGGAGCCUCUACUACAUCUUAUAUAACCAUGAUUGCCCUAACUCAGGGAUUCACAAGGACUUUAAGGCCCCUUCCUGGAUGGAGGAAGAGAACCAUGAGUCAAGGAAUGGGCACAGCUUAUAGAAGUUGGAAAAAAGCAAGAAAAUGGAUUCUCUCUAGAGCCUCCAGGAGGAUCAUGGCUCUGCUGACACCUGUUUAGCCCAGUGAGACCCAUUUCAGAUUUUUGACCUCCAGUAUAGUUAAGACAAUAAAUUAGUGUCAUUUGACAUCA